ensembl:lncRNA
GUGAGUGUAGAGGAAGUGAUGGGAGGACUGACCCAGACUCUGCUGCACCAAGAACCACAGGAGCAGCUACGUGACUCACUGGCAGACUGCCUCCUGUCUCUGAGCCGCUCUAACCUGCUCAAGUGUUUCCUGAUUCGUCAGAUUCUGUCUCACCUGAGCACCGUCACGGCCCACCUCUGGACCCUGCACCAGUCCUCAGACCCGGAUCUCGACUCCUUUCCUCUGGUCCAGUACCUUAACAGCUGUCGGCUCAUGUGGAUCCUGGAACAGCUGCUGCAACUUCCAAAUCCACCAAUCACAGAUCACGGCUCCUAUCGGCCAAUCAGAGACAACAUGAACACAGACAACCCAAUCAGAGAGGAGCACGACUCGAGUCAGCCAAUGAACGAUGAUCUAAUCGCAGAC